GCCCCGGGUCGGAAGCGGAGCAAUGCUCUCUGCCUCCAGCGGGUGGCGCUCGAGUCCGACUGAACUGCGGCGGCGGGUGGCGGGCACGCGCCCAGGACGCGCGCGCCACCCCUCUCGCCUCCACCCAACUCCCCCAUUAGUGCACGAGUUUACCUCUAGAGGUCAUCAGGCAGGAUUUACGACUGGACAACAAAAGCACGUGAUUCGAAGUCGUACCCCAUAUUUGGGUGCCUACGUAGGAGGGAACCAAGUACAUGUCCCAGUCAUUUCCAUAAUUCAUCAUAAAUUGUGCAAGGGUGCUAUAGACGCACAAACGACCGCGAGCCACAAAUCAAGCACACAUAUCAAAAAACAAAUGAGCUCUUAUUUUGUAAACUCAUUUUGCGGUCGCUAUCCAAAUGGCCCGGACUACCAGUUGCAUAAUUAUGGAGAUCAUAGUUCCGUGAGCGAGCAAUUCAGGGACUCGGCGAGCAUGCACUCCGGCAGGUACGGCUACGGUUACAAUGGCAUGGAUCUCAGCGUCGGCCGCUCGGGCUCCGGCCACUUUGGCUCCGGGGAGCGCGCCCGCAGCUACGCGGCCGGCGCCAGCUCAGCGCCCGCCGAGCCCAGGUACAGCCAGCCGGCCACGUCCACGCACUCGCCUCCGCCCGAUCCGCUGCCCUGCUCCGCCGUGGCCCCCUCGCCCGGCAGCGACAGCCACCACAGCGGGAAAAACUCCCUGGGCAACUCCAGCGGCGCCUCGGCCAACGCCGGCAGCACCCACAUCAGCAGCAGAGAGGGGGUUGGCACGGCGUCCGGAGCCGAGGAGGACGCCCCUGCCAGCAGCGAGCAGGCGAGCGCGCAGAGCGAGCCGAGCCCGGCGCCGCCCGCUCAACCCCAGAUCUACCCCUGGAUGCGCAAGCUGCACAUAAGUCAUGACAACAUAGGCGGCCCUGAAGGCAAAAGGGCCAGGACGGCCUACACGCGCUACCAGACCCUAGAGCUGGAGAAGGAGUUCCACUUCAACCGCUACCUGACGCGCCGAAGAAGGAUUGAAAUAGCCCAUGCUCUUUGCCUCUCCGAGAGACAAAUUAAAAUCUGGUUCCAAAACCGGAGAAUGAAGUGGAAAAAAGAUAAUAAGCUGAAAAGCAUGAGCAUGGCGGCUGCGGGAGGGGCCUUCCGCCCCUGAGUGUUAGAGCGUUUAAAGUACUGAGCAGUAUUAGCGGAUCUCGAAUAGUGUCAGUACUAAGGCUACGUGUGCCGCCUGGUCAUUCAAAUUGUCAAUUUUAGGUCCUGAAGUGUCCAAACCACAAGUUCUCAAAACUCUCUGAAAAAUGGCUCCCUCCGAGUUAAGGUAAGCUCGCCUCCUGAGUGCUUUCAAGUGUAUUUUGUACCCUGAAAACUUUCUUGCUUGCUCUCUCUGGCUGUCUCUCUCUCUCUUUCCUCUCUCCCUCUCUGGUGCAAUAACUCUGAGGCUGCCUUGGUGUUGAAAAAGGGGGAGCAAAGUUUUCCUCUGCCCAGAUCAGCAGCGCCAGGGGCCAGCUUUGCGGAGGCAGUGCGGUGAGCAGCUCCUGUGGCCGCUGCGUCCCCAGGCCUAACUUUAAUUGCUGCGCCACCGCGGAUGGUAAUGACUUCCGCUGCCCCUGGCCGCGUGCAAAAAGAUGAUUUUUAUGUGAGAAUGGGCCUGUGUGUGGAAACUUAGCGCUCCCACCCCAAUCCCAAGGCCUGGCUAGGUCCCAGCUGUUUUGGGGUCGCGCAGUCCUGGGGUUGAGGGGCCGGGAGACUGUGGGGCGCCGGCGGUGGGCUUGGGCUGCGCUCGGAGUUUGAAAGAAAGGCGGGGACAGGGCCGAGGCGGACUCUGGCGGGAUUCCUUAUGGGGCUGUGGCAGUAUGUCUUCGCGGGCCAGGGUCAUUUGGCAGGGCUGAAUUGAGGCGGCGGCCUUCGGGGCCGGGUUUCAGGCUGGCUUUCGAAGGGUGGCAGAGGCCGGCGAGGCGCUGGCUGCACCUCCAGGCUGGGCUCCUGGGUUGCGAGGCCGAGCCCAGCUGCCAGCGCCCACUGGACGAUGGGGACGCAGGGGACCGCGGGUGCCCACCUGGGCGGGGCGGGGGGCGGCUCUGCACCUCCUCCCGCGCACCCGGGACCAGGCCCUGAACCUUGUUUGCCUGCACGUUCUUUUUAUUUCGCUGGGACUGUUCUCACCCGCCUGUUAGUCUGAAGCAAUAAACUUUAUGGCCGGAUUUAACGUUAGUCUUUGAAUCCUCAGGAUAAUUGAAAGGGGUUAAAGCACUUUCUUUUCU